CAUACCUAUUCGAAGGGAUAGGGUCGGCUCGGCCGGAUUUUACACAAGUGUUGCAUGGCUGUCGUCAGCUCGUGUCGUGAGAUGUUGGGUUAAGUCCCGCAACGAGCGCAACCCUCAUCCUUAGUUGCCAUCAGGUAAUGCUGAGUACUUUAAGGAAACUGCCAGUGAUAAGCUGGAGGAAGGUGGGGAUGAUGUCAAGUCAUCAUGGCCUUUAUGGAGUGGGCUACACACGUGCUACAAUGGUGUCUACAAUGGGUUGCAAGGUGCGCAAGCCUAAGCUAAUCCCUAAAAGACAUCUCAGUUCGGAUUGUACUCUGCAACUCGAGAGCAUGAAGUUGGAAUCGCUAGUAAUCGUGGACCAGCAUGCCACGGUGAAUACGUUCUCGGGUCUUGUACACACUGCCCGUCACGCCAUGGGAAUUGGUUUCACUCGAAGCU
rnacentral:rRNA from 1 species